UUUAAAAUUUUAAUUAAUUAAUUAAUUAGAACGAUAUAGAGAAGAUUAGCAUGGCCCCUGCGCAAGAAUGACACACACAAAUCGAGGAGAGAGGGAGAGAGAA